AUACGUAGGGAGCAAGCGUUGUCCGGAUUUAUUGGGCGUAAAGAGCUCGUAGGCGGUUUCGUAAGUCGAGUGUGAAAAAUCAGGGCUUAACCCUGUGGAGCACUCGAUACUGCGAUGACUUGAGUUUGGUAGAGGAGUGUGGAAUUCCUGGUGUAGCGGUGAAAUGCGCAGAUAUCAGGAGGAACACCAACGGCGAAGGCAGCACUCGUGGGCCAGUACUGACGCUGAGGAGACG
rnacentral:rRNA from 1 species